rnacentral:misc_RNA from 1 species
UUUCCGUAGGUGAACCUGCGGAAGGAUCAUUACUGAGUGAGGGCCCUCUGGGUCCAACCUCCCACCCGUGUUUAUUAUACCUUGUUGCUUCGGUGAGCCCGCCUCACGGCCGCCGGGGGGCAUCUGCCCCCGGGCCUGCGCCCACCGAAGACACCUAGAACUCUGUAUGAAGAUUGCAGUCUGAGCAAAAACUAAAUAAGUUAAAACUUUCAACAACGGAUCUCUUGGUUCCG